rnacentral:rRNA from 1 species
UAGUCCACGCAGUAAACGGUGAUCACUAGGUGUAGCGGGUAUUGACCCCUGCUGUGCCGCAGCUAACGCAUUAAGUGAUCCGCCUGGGGAGUACGGCCGCAAGGUUAAAACUCAAAGGAAUUGACGGGGCCCGCACAAGCGGUGGAACAUGUGGUUUAAUUCGAUGAUACGCGAGGAACCUUACCUGGGCUUAAAUGGCAGUUGCAUAGAUCAGAGAUGGUCUUUUCCUUCACGGGACUACUGUCAAGGUGCUGCAUGGCUGUCGUCAGCUCGUGCCGUGAGGUGUCGGGUUAAGUCCCAUAACGAGCGCAACCCCUGCCGCUAGUUGCCAUCAGAUAAUGCUGGGGACUCUAGCGGGACUGCCGCCGCAAGGCGCGAGGAAGGCGGGGAUGACGUCAAGUCAGCACGGCCCUUACGUCCAGGGCUACACACGUGUUACAAUGGUCAUUACAGAGGGCAGCUAACCAGCGAUGGGUCGCUAAUCCUUAAAAAUGGU